rnacentral:rRNA from 1 species
UACGAAGGGGGCUAGCGUUGCUCGGAAUCACUGGGCGUAAAGCGCACGUAGGCGGCUUGUUAAGUCAGGGGUGAAAUCCUGGAGCUCAACUCCAGAACUGCCUUUGAUACUGGCGAGCUUGAGUUCGGGAGAGGUGAGUGGAACUGCGAGUGUAGAGGUGAAAUUCGUAGAUAUUCGCAAGAACACCAGUGGCGAAGGCGGCUCACUGGUCCGGUUCUGACGCUGAGGCGCGAAAGCGUGGGGAGCAAACAGG